UAGGAACGUUUUUUUUUAAAUAGAUCAAAAUACGAUCAGGGUGAGUCUUUAACUGUAUUUAUCUUGUGCAAUAUUAAGGUAAAAAAUUAAGCAGUGUUUUUGAAACUUCUUCUAUAAAAAUGUCAAACAAUGCUGCCUAUAUGUCCAAAAGUUGAGGUUUUAUAUGAAUCUCUGAAGUGUUUAACCUUUAUGCCAUAGUUUUAAGAACAAUCACCAGAAAUGCGGUUAAACCUCGAUUCUGCGCUGAGUCACUUUUGAGAUCUCAUUUUUAAAGAAGGAAUGAUGCAGACAGACACACAAAACAUUACCAUUGUCUUCUAUUUCACCAUUCUCCUGUUAUAAUCAGAGCAACACAACGUUUGUGUAACCACAGAGCCCUGAACUUCUGGCAUGGCCUCCAAUCAGAGGUGAACCAAAACUUGUCCAUAAACCUCAUUAACCAGGUGUACAAAUUCAGCAGCUUCCUGGCCUGACAUUUGACUGACUGGUUGCUGAUAUUAGACCACUUUUUCUUCUGGAGCCCCCAUCUUUAGGGCGUGCAAAAUGCUUUUUCAGUGCUCGGAGACUACAGACGGUCUGCUGUUUGCAGCGGCUGCGAUCACAAUGGCAUAUCUUUGACAUAACCUACACUUCUGUCUCGAUGAUGUGCCUCAGCUAUACAUCAUAAAAGUGACUCGGGGCCAGAAGAAAAUGAAGACAAAGUGUAUCAUAGAGGAAUGGAUAAAGCAGAGGGGAAUACAAUCUUUCCAAGGUCCUUUGGUCUGAGGAUCAGGUCACUGCUACAGGACAAGGCCUGCAGGAUGUGUGCUUUACAGGAGGAGACCUCGGCCCAGCGCCACAAAGCUCCCACCGCCACUUAAACACGGGAAUGGCGGAACUGUCACGCUAAAAAUGUCAGAUGCUUUUUAUUCUCAGCACCUCCAUAAUGUCUGAUUUAUGCCACCCAGUAAAAAUCUAACAAUCCACCAAAGCUUUUGUCUUCAUGGGGAUAUUCUGCUGCAUUUUUGGUUCUUUUGCGUAGAUCUGCCUGGAGUGUC
rnacentral:lncRNA from 1 species